GUCGUUUGAUUGACGCCUCGACAGCGUCUUUCCAACAAUGGUGAUUAAAUUGAGCUUCGUCGAAGGUUGUCAAACUCGAAGUCAUCAAGAAAAUGGCCCUGCCACAUUCUUCCGUCAACCAAAGGAUAUCUUUCGACGAAUGGAAAAAGAUUUUUCCAGAGAAAAAACUUUUGCAAACUUCCCGUCUAUGCUGGAAGCAUUUUGCUGAAGAAGACAUCGUUAAAUGGAAAAUGAUAGGAGAAGAAUUUGUCCACCAGAAACGAUGGCGCCUUAAAAAAGGAGCUAAGCCAAAGCAUCUUCUAGACACUGCUCCAAGAACAAGAAAUAUUCGUCAACCACUGACACCUUUGAGUACAAAUCAAGUUGUGAAGAAGAAACGUUAUUUAAGAUCGAAGACAAUUACUUCAAUUUUAGUUUCCCAUGUAGAGAACCUUGUGCUGUUCUCUCAAAUAAUAGCACCACACAAUGUAGCUCAAAUCCAAUUGAGGUGAUGGAAAAGGAAAUUUACUUGUCUGAACAGUCAGUUGGAUUGAUUGGUAAACCAUUUCUAUGAGAUGAUCAAAUUUCUUACACGUUGUCUAAUAGGUGCCCAACAUCUAGAUUCUGACGAGUCAUUGCCACUUGACUCUGCAAACAUUUCUAUUUUAGUUCUGAGACAGAAAGCCAAGAUAUUAAUCUUCAUCCAAACGGAAAGGAUUACUAUUCGAUUAUCCAAGAAGAUAGAAGUACAGACUCCACGCUACCUAGCCCACAUACGAUAGAACUAAAUGGUCAUUCAACAGCUGAUGUGUCUUUUUAUGAGUAAGUUAACCUGGCUUAGGCUUCUGUUGGAUGUAAUGUUGAAGAAUUCUGCCAUAGAUGCACUUGCCUUUCAACCUUUACAAAAGAAUGUGAACCUUCCAUCUAACUCUUGGAACUGGAAUUAAUCAACAACAAGGUUGUCCUUCCACGUUGGGGGUAAACUAAUUUCACUGCCAAAUGGCAAACGUAGCUAUCACGACUAUGAUGAACUAAGUGGUUUUAUCAAACCCUCGACCGCCAGAAUGUGUGAAAAAGAAAUCGCGAAUUCUUUUUUAGGGUACGUUACGGAAAAAUUCGCUAUUUCAAGGGAUAUGUUUGAUACGAUGAUAUUGUAAUA
rnacentral:misc_RNA from 1 species